CAACCGCCACGGUAAUACGUAGGGUGCAAGCGUUAAUCGGAAUUACUGGGCGUAAAGCGUGCGCAGGCGGUUAUAUAAGUCAGAUGUGAAAUCCCAGGGCUCAACCUGGGAACUGCAUUUGAGACUGUAUGACUAGAGUGUGUCAGAGGGGGGUAGAAUUCCACGUGUAGCAGUGAAAUGCGUAGAUAUGCGGAGGAACACCGAUGGCGAAGGCAAUCCCCUGGACCUGUACUGACGCUCAUGCACGAAAGCGUGGGGAGCAAACAGGAUUAGAUACCCCAGUAGUCCCUGUCUCUUAUAC
rnacentral:rRNA from 1 species